rnacentral:rRNA from 1 species
AUUGAACGCUGGCGGCAUGCCUUACACAUGCAAGUCGAACGGCAGCGGACCUUCGGGUGCCGGCGAGUGGCGAACGGGUGAGUAAUGCAUCGGAACGUACCUUUCAGUGGGGGAUAACGUAGCGAAAGUUACGCUAAUACCGCAUAUUCCGUGAGCAGGAAAGCAGGGGAUCGCAAGACCUUGCGCUGAUUGAGCGGCCGAUGUCAGAUUAGCUGGUUGGUGAGGUAAAGGCUCACCAAGGCGACGAUCUGUAGCGGGUCUGAGAGGAUGAUCCGCCACACUGGAACUGAGACACGGUCCAGACUCCUACGGGAGGCAGCAGUGGGGAAUUUUGGACAAUGGGGGCAACCCUGAUCCAGCCAUGCCGCGUGAGUGAAGAAGGCCUUCGGGUUGUAAAGCUCUUUCGGCCGGGAAGAAAUCGCACGGGCUAAUACCCUGUGUGGAUGACGGUACCGGAAUAAGAAGCACCGGCUAACUACGUGCCAGCCGCCGCCGUAAAAC